UACGGUGAAUACGUUCCCGGACCUUGUACACACCGCCCGUCAAGCCAUGGAAGCCGGGUGUACUAAAGUCGAUAACCGUAAGGAGUCGCCUAGGGUAAAACUGGUGACUGGGGCU
rnacentral:rRNA from 1 species